GCUCCCGUAGUGUAGACCGGCCAAUCAUGGAGGCCUCUCGAGCCUCUGACAGGGGUUCAAAUCCCCUCGGGAGCA
rnacentral:tRNA from 1 species